UACGGAAGGCAGCAGUGGGGAAUAUUGCACAAUGGGCGAAAGCCUGAUGCAGCUAUGCCGCGUGUAUGAAGAAGGCCUUAGGGUUGUAAAGUACUUUCAUCGGGGAGGAAAAAACAAAACUAAUAAUUUUAUUUCUUGACGUUACCCGAAAAAGAAGCACCGGCUAACUCCGUGCCAGCAGCCGCGGUAAUACGGAGGGUGCUAGCGUUAAUCACAAUUACUGGGCGUAAAGAGCACGUAGGUGGUUUUUUUAAGUCAGAUGUGAAAUCCCUGGGCUUAACCUAGGAACUGCAUUUUGAAACUGAAAUACUAGAGUAUCGUAGAGGGAGGUAGAAUUCUAGGUGUAGCGGUGAAAUGCGUAGAUAUCUGGAGGAAUACCUGUGGCGAAAGCGGCCUCCUAAACGAAUACUGACACUGAGGUGCGAAAGCGUGGGGAGCAAACAGGGAUUAGAUACC
rnacentral:rRNA from 1 species